UUUUAUAUAUAUGCUUUCAGUUUAGCAGUUCUUUACCGUGGGGUUGUAACUUGGUUUUGUUUAAAAGAGAAUCCAGUCAAUAAGCAGAUCAGCAGAACAAAACGAAUAGCCCGGAGAGCUUUUGCUUUUGGCUUCUUUUUCAGGUACAGCUAUCGCUUCGUAUGCAGGUAUCGAAAAUUUCUAUGUAUAUGGCAGGUCUGUUGGCGUGCCCGGAAAAACGUGUAAUCCGAGGCGUGACACAAAAAUCUUUAUUUUGAAACCAUGAAUAUAUACCAAAACCAUGAAUAUCCAAAAUCACGAGUAUCCAAAACACAUAAAUACAUUAUUCAAAAACCUGCAAGUAUAAAACACCAACCGAACCACAAGUAUCAUCUACUAUCAG
rnacentral:lncRNA from 1 species